rnacentral:lncRNA from 1 species
UUUCUGGCUCAGAUCUGAGACCCAUUUCCCGCCUUCACAGACCUAAUCAAGAAAUGGAAACUGAACCAGUUUCCGUGCAGAAGGUACCUGCACCCCCUGGAUCUCCCUGUCGACAACAGGACUCUGCCCUGACCCCCACGCCCACCAUGCCUCCCCCAGAGGAACCCUCCGAAGACUAUGAACACAGCCAAAGCCCUGCAGAGGUACUACUGGGUUAGAAGGUGUAGGGCUAUUAGGUUUUUUUAUUCGUUUACUUUGGUCGAGGAGUUGAGGAUGAAGAAGGUCGUUAUAGAGAAGUAAGUUAAUGGGUUAGUGUCCUAAAGAGACACCAAGGUCCUGACCCUCCUGGCUGGGCAGAGGUAGAACUGAUAGCCUAGAGUAAAAUAGGAACAGGGGCCCGGCGGUGUGGGGCACACCUCUAAUCCCAACACUUGGGAGGCAGAGGCAGGUGGAUUUCUGAGUUCAAGGCCAGCCUGGUCUCUACAGAGUGAGUUCCAGGACAGCCAGGGCUACACAGAGAAACCCUGUCUAAAAAAAAAAAAAAAAAAACCGGGAUGAGUUGGAUUGUAACUGGGGAUAGUUGGAUUGUAACUCCUACUCCCUGAAGCCUUGCCUGAAGCGCCUACCUCAGAUGAAAGACUAUAGUCCUGUGGAAGGCCUGGCCAGGAGUCUUAUUUGCUCUGGCCUGGAGCUAAAGGCAUGUCCCAGACUUGGCAAAACUAUAGUCGCCCUCCCUGACCCCCACACCAACACUUCCCGUUUUUCAGCUGUGGUUGCACAUCCCAGGAGCAAUAGUGCUUGGGAUGGUAGGGCUGGAGGGAGGAUGACAAGUUCCAGGCCAGCCUAGGCCACAAAGAGAGUUCAAGACCGCUGAGGGCAUCACAGCAAGACCUGUUUCAAAACAAAACAAACAAACAGACAGAACCUGGCUCAGACCAAAGUGCCUGCUAAGACCAACAGGAUUCACACAGCUGCUUUCUCUUUUGAUUUUCAUCAAUUUAUUUUAUGUGUAUGAGGUUUAGGGAUUUAUUUUAUUUUAUCUUUUGGAACACAGGGUCUCACUCUGUAGCCUUGGCCGGGCUGGAGCUUGCUUUGUAAGCCAGGCUGGUCUCAAAUUCAUAGAAACCACCUGCCUGCCUUCUGAGCUCUGGGAUUAAUGUAUGCGCCACCAAGCUCAUUUUCCUAAGGAAGCCUAGUUCAUGGCCUUCCUGGGAGUAUUGCCUCAACCUUCCAUACUCACCCUGGAAGGAACUACCUCCAUCCCAUUAUUCUUCACUCAUUUUUCCCUUC